GAUGAACGCUGGCGGCAUGCCUUACACAUGCAAGUCGAACGGUAACAGGUCUUCGGAUGCUGACGAGUCGCGAACGGGUGAGUAAUGCAUCGGAACGUGCCCAGUAGUGGGGGAUAGCCCGGCGAAAGCCGGAUUAAUACCGCAUACGACCUGAGGGUGAAAGGGGGGACCGCAAGACCUCUCGCUAUUGGAGCGGCCGAUGUCAGAUUAGCUAGUUGGUGGGGUAAAGGCCUACCAAGGCAACGAUCUGUAGUUGGUCUGAGAGGACGACCAGCCACACUGGGACUGAGACACGGCCCAGACUCCUACGGGAGGCAGCAGUGGGGAAUUUUGGACAAUGGGCGCAAGCCUGAUCCAGCAAUGCCGCGUGCAGGAUGAAGGCCUUCGGGUUGUAAACUGCUUUUGUCUGGGAAGAAAUCUUCUGGGUUAAUACCUCGGGAGGAUGACGGUACCUGAAGAAUAAGCACCGGCUAACUACGUGCCAGCAGCCGCAGUAA
rnacentral:rRNA from 1 species